rnacentral:lncRNA from 1 species
AAUCAAAGAAAAGAAAGACACAGCGAGUCUAUUCGAUUACAAAAUAGAUGAACAAUGUGAUGUAUAACUAGUCCAGUGAUGACAGUGAACCAUCUACAUGGGAAGUGUCUGAUCAUCAGUGUUCACAUGCCUCACUUCAGAAUCAAGUAGUUAGGCUAUAUACAUGUUGCAGAGGUUUGUUUAUGGUCACAAACCCCUCGCUGUUAUUUGCCUGUUUAGGCAAUUAAGCAGCAUGUUGCUCAGUUCAUCACACUCCUAGCCCUAUAGGGGCCUGGAUAGAUGAAUACCUGUCAUAUGGCCCUGCCUUGCAUCUCCUCUUACAUCACACAAGCCUCAAACAAAGAGAAUUCCAGAAUCCACAAAUCGCAUUUCCGAGUAGACCUUCUAGGCAAAGGAAAUGCUUGACGAAUAAAGAAAACCUGCCUAACUAGUUAGUCACCGUUGCUGAGCAAAUCGGUGAGCCCGCUCUAUAAGUAUUUUAAAUAACACAUGAUACAUACAUAAGGUUAGGGAAGCGAGUGAACAUCCUCGGACACGUCGAUUUUAUUGUUUGUUCAAAUGAACACGACAAAUGAACCACCAAUGCAUAUGUGGACACCAAUCAAUCAUGUAGGCAGCCUCUUUUCUUCUUCCCUUUGUUGUCGGAUUAUUUCCAUAGGUCCAUCCAAUAUGGGAAAAUAUCAAAUAAUCCAGAAAAUUUAACAAAGCGGAAUGGGCGCUUAGAAAUU